rnacentral:rRNA from 1 species
AGAAUCAACGCUGGCGGCGUGCCUCAGACAUGCAAGUCGAACGAUUAAACUUUCCUUCGGGAAAGAUAUAAAGUGGCGCACGGGUGAGUAACACGUAAGUAAUCUACCUUCGAGUGGGGAAUAACAUCGGGAAACCGAUGCUAAUACCGCAUAAUGCAGCGGCAUCGCAAGAUGACAGCUGUUAAAGGAGCAAUCCGCUUGAAGAGGAGCUUGCGGCAGAUUAGCUAGUUGGUAAGGUAACGGGCUUACCAAGGCUACGAUCUGUAACCGGUCUAAGAGGACGGUCGGUCACACUGACACUGAAUAACGGGUCAGACUCCUACGGGAGGCAGCAGUCGGGAAUUUUGGGCAAUGGGCGAAAGCCUGACCCAGCAACGCCGCGUGAAGGAUGAAGUAUUUCGGUAUGUAAACUUCGAAAGAAUGGGAAGAAUCAAUGACGGUACCAUUUAUAAGGUCCGGCUAACUACGUGCCAGCAGCCGC